AGUGUUUUUCCUUGCUCUUGCACUGAAUUCCACUUAAAUCGAAAGCA
rfam:Lucilia cuprina strain LS Scaffold675, whole genome shotgun sequence.